UCCUCCAAGGCUAAAUACUCCUGACUGACCGAUAGUGAACCAGUACCGUGAGGGAAAGGCGAAAAGAACCCCGGCGAGGGGAGUGAAAAAGAACCUGAAACCGUGUACGUACAAGCAGUGGGAGCACCCUUCGGGGUGUGACUGCGUACCUUUUGUAUAAUGGGUCAGCGACUUAUAUUCUGUAGCAAGGUUAACCGAAUAGGGGAGCCGGAGGGAAACCGAGUCUUAACCGGGCGUUAAGUUGCAGGGUAUAGACCCGAAACCCGGUGAUCUAGCCAUGGGCAGGUUGAAGGUUGGGUAACACUAACUGGAGGACCGAACCGACUAAUGUUGAAAAA
rnacentral:rRNA from 1 species